CGAGUCUUAAUUGGGCGUUAAGUUGCAGGGUAUAGACCCGAAACCCGGUGAUCUAGCCAUGGGCAGGUUGAAGGUUGGGUAACACUAACUGGAGGACCGAACCGACUAAUGUUGAAAAAUUAGCGGAUGACCUGUGGCUGGGGGUGAAAGGCCAAUCAAACCGGGAGAUAGCUGGUUCUCCCCGAAAGCUAUUUAGGUAGCGCCUCGUGAAUUCAUCUCCGGGGGUAGAGCACUGUUUCGGCUAGGGGGCCAUCCCGGCUUACCAACCCGAUGCA
rnacentral:rRNA from 1 species